UACGGAGGGGGCUAGCGUUGCUCGGAAUCACUGGGCGUAAAGCGCACGUAGGCGGAUUGCUAAGUCAGGUGUGAAAUCUCGGGGCUCAACCCCGAAACUGCACUUGAUACUGCCUUGCUAGAGUACUGGAGAGGAGAUUGGAAUUUACGGUGUAGCAGUGAAAUGCGUAGAUAUCGUAAGGAAGACCAGUGGCGAAGGCGAAUCUCUGGACAGUUACUGACACUGAGGCUCGAAGGCCAGGGGAGCAAACGGG
rnacentral:rRNA from 1 species